AGUCGCCGUCAUGUAAAAUUGGCACCGUGUUUUUUGUAGAAAUUUUUUUAAAUAUCAGCCGCGUUCACUCGAGAUGACGUUUUUCAAUAAGCGGAAUAAAAAUCCUUUCCAAAUAUCCACUACUGUCCUACCUUUUAUUGUGUUUGCACUGUAUAAUCCUGACCUUCACAUUAUUCAAGAUUAUUUACAUUGUUAAUCCGCCAUCAUGGUUUCUAUGAGGAUCCUUUAUUUACAUAACAUUCGUUACUCUCCGGCAAUAUCCGUGUCAUUGAUGUGAUACAGUUUCCCGCGCUUUUUACAUGUAAACAAUAACACGAGUUGUGUAAUCGACAAGAUAAAUAUGUUACCUGAAUAUGACCCGGAGAAUGGACAGAAUGGUGUUUACACGAAGAAACAAUGAAAUAAAAAGUUGUUGGAACUAUAUAUCACAGAUGUUGAAACCAGUAUAUCACAGAUGUUGAAACUACGGUAUAUCACAGAUGUUGAAAGUAGGGUAUAUCACAGAUGUUGAAACUAUAUCACAGAUGUUGAAACUAUAUCACAGAUGUUGAUUUAAUGUAUACAGGAUGGGUUAAUAGCAAUCACUCAACUAACUGUCCAGAAACUGUUAUCAAAGAAUCAGUAACCGAAGAUUAAACAAAGACUAUUUUGCUGAUGACUACAGAGCAAAAAAAUAUUUCCAAUAUGUAUAGAUAUGUACUUCAAUACUGAAAUGUGUAUUUAAUGCAGAGCUUGCUGCAGACUUGGCAUGGUCACUGACUGGGAUUUCUUGUGCAGAUCAUAGAUGGUCCUUCUCACCACACCUUUGUCGAAAUCAUCCAACUUCUGGUUCUUCUUGACAGUUUUCUGGACAGCAGCCUUAUGAACUGCCUUCACCACAUCCUGCACAGCAUCAUCACUGGCAUCUGUAUGGACAUAACGUCGCAGUGUUGUUGGUUUAAUCCCUGAAAUUUCAAUUGUCCAUGUAUUUCAGCAUAUAACAUAAAAAUGAUAGAAAAAACUUGUAUAUAAUUGUAUAGAGUGGAUUCAAGGUGGUUGGGGGCAUUUAUAUAUCUUCUUGUUUGCAUAGUCAUAAAAAAUUGUUGUUGGACUUGCAUAGCUUGACAAUAUAUUUAAGGAAUAACAGUACUGUAGUUGAAGAGUUGCCACCGUCAAUUGUCGAUUUGACGAUCGCAAAUGCAGUUUUACUGGUGAUGCGUAGCGGAGACAGUAAAACGGAAAUUUCAACCGUCAAAUCAAAAUUGACGGUGGCAACUCUUCAACUACAGUACUGUUAUUCCGAUUCUAAUGCAAUACAAAAAGAAAUAAUACGUUAGAGCUUGACAAAAUGUAUAAAUUUCACAUACAAAAAAAUCCGCGAAACUUCUUGAAUGAUUUUGGCGCAAAAACGUCAUGGCUAAGUGUGACGUCAUUCAAAUGAAAACUGACAAACUGAAGGUUAUUACGUUACCUCUACGAUUUAAAUUCGGAUAAAAUCACAUUAAAACGGCGAAUUGGUUGUAGGUUUUGUUUUAUUUUCGAUAAUAUUGUAGUAAUCGAACAUUUGUUGAUCCAAUCAAUUCAAAAUGGCGGAUCCCUCCUUAGUUAAGCCUGGUCAACUGUGGAUUUGACGGUAACUUUUAGCCAAUGAAAAAAAUUGUUACAUAAAAAUUGCAUUAGAAUUCAAGUUUUCUUAUCACCACUUAAAUAUUUAUUAGAUUUGCCCCAAUUACAUUAUCUGAAACUUAUCCUAAUGUACACGUGAUUCAUCUAAAAUUACUAUAUUUGGUGUAUGUGGAAGGAUUGGAAUGGAACUCAUGUCCAAGGGUACAUCUGACCCUCGCUUCAUUUUCAUGUUUAAUUGUUGAUGUGUAUUUACAGUUAACUGUUUUACCUGCAAAUUUGCUAUUGAUGCCUUGACCUUAUGAAUUGAUAUUUAUGAGGUUGAAAAUAUCUUUCAUCAAGUUUUAUCUAUAGACAUCAUUUGGUUUGCACAAUUAUAUGUUAUUAAAAAUAACAAGACCCCAAUAAUUGAGGUCUCCAACAAAGUUUGUCUGCUUUAAAAUCAUAAUUGUUGAUUUUAUGCAAAUAAUUUUUCUUUUUUUUUCAGUUAUGUAAAACUGAAAUUUUUUUUUAAAAAAUAAGUUAAUUUUACCUGUUGCCUUUACUAGUCUUUUAAUGGGAUUUUGAAGUGCCCAUGGUUUAUUUUUCUCCUUCUCUCCCACAAAGAAUUGGUAAACUUUCCUCAAUAAUUCUUUUGUCUGAAAAAAAACAACAACAUUUUGUAUAUGAUCAAAGGGAGGUAAUCCAUAGUAAGAAUGGGAUGUGAUUGUUCUAUAUAAUUGAUUCUUGUUACGUUUCAUUUUUUAAAAUGCAGAGGGUUUGGUAAAAAUGACAGUGCACAAAGAUUAAAUUAUGUACAUGUAGUUAUGUAUAAAGAUUGGAGUUGAAUUUUUGUUAUCGUGUAAUGAUCUUUGUAUAAAUGUUGUCGCUGAUUAAACCAAUUUUUAAGGUUAUUUAUAAUUGCAAGACACUGACAUGUUGUAUGGCAUUCUUAAUCAACAGUUAUCAUUUAUAAUUAUAUAUUAUUGUUGUAUACUAGUAUAUCAAAAUAUUUGUUCUAAUGUAGCUGUGAAAUUGAUUUAAGGUACUGCAUUUGUAGUAAAAUUUAAAUAAUUUGAAAGAUUUCUAAUUUGUUCUAAGCACUUCUUGGUGAUAUUUAUAUUUUUCUUUUGUUGUAAUUUUGUGAGUACAUUAUUAAUUGUAUUAUUAUGGUA